UACAGAGGGUGCGAGCGUUGUCCGGAAUCACUGGGCGUAAAGGGCGCGUAGGUGGCGACCCAAGUCAAUGGUGAAAGCUCGAUGCUCAACAUCGAGUCGGCCACUGAUACUGGGUUGCUUGAGCACUGUAGAGGCUAAUGGAAUUCCGGGUGUAGCGGUGGAAUGCGUAGAGAUCCGGAAGAACACCGGUGGCGAAGGCGGUUCUCUAGUACGGUACUGACGCUGAGACGCGAAAGCGUGGGGAGCGAACAGG
rnacentral:rRNA from 1 species